AUGGAGUGGCUUGAAGAGAUGAGCCCAAUGUGGGUAGAUUGGAAAGAGAAGACAUUACGGUUCACACAUAAUGGAGUUUGCAUCACUCUUCGGGGCAUUAAAGAUAAACAUGGCAGUUGCUCAACUAUUUCUGCUAAACAGCUUCAGGGCUUGGUUAACAAUGGAGGUGUGGUGCAUAUGUUAGAAUUGUGUGUUGUGCAGGACGUAUUCGAGGCACCUGGCUCAUCCACCCCUCUACUACCAGCCAUUACCCGAGUUAUUUCUCAGCAUGAGGCUGUGUUUGAAGACCCUCACGUGUUGCCUCCUCACCGCAGUUUUGACCAUAACAUUCCAUUGCUUCCAGGGGUGAAGCCUGUUAAUGUCAAGCCAUAUCGUUAUGCUACUAUGCAGAAAACUAAGAUUGAGUGA
rnacentral:rRNA from 1 species